rnacentral:rRNA from 1 species
UCGAGAAUUUUUCACAAUGGGCGCAAGCCUGAUGGAGCGACGCCGCGUGGGGGAUGAAUGGCUUCGGCCCGUAAACCCCUGUCAUUCGCGAGCAAACCUUGUUAUUUAAAAGAUGACGAGCUGAUAGUAGCGGAAGAGGAAGGGACGGCUAACUCUGUGCCAGCAGCCGCGGUAAUACAGAGGUCCCAAGCGUUGUUCGGAUUCACUGGGCGUAAAGGGUGCGUAGGUGGUGAGGUAAGUCGGAUGUGAAAUCUCGGAGCUCAACUCCGAAAUGGCAUUGGAAACUACCUUGCUCGAGGAUUGGAGGGGGGACUGGAAUUCUCGGUGUAGCAGUGAAAUGCGUAGAUAUCGAGAGGAACACCAGUGGCGAAGGCGAGUCCCUGGACAACUCCUGACACUGAGGCACGAAAGCUAGGGGAGCAAACAGG